rnacentral:rRNA from 1 species
ACACACACUCACAGCCGGGCGGACAUUAGAAUUAUGACUGGAGUGUAGCUGGCCCUUAAAAACGGCAUGUGCACGCUCCUUUCACUAAUCCACACACACCUGUGCACCUUUGCGGGGGUCUUCUUUUCGGAGAAGGCUCGCGUCCCUUUACACACCCUUUGUAUGUCUUAAGAAUGUCUACUCGAUGUAAUAAAACGCAUCUAAUACAACUUUCAACAACGGAUCUCUUGGCUCUCGCAUCGAUGAAGAACGCAGCGAAAUGCGAUAAGUAAUGUGAAUUGCAGAAUUCAGUGAAUCAUCGAAUCUUUGAACGCACCUUGCGCCCUUUGGUAUUCCGAAGGGCACACCUGUUUGAGUGUCGUGAAAUUCUCAACCCUCUUCAUUUUUUAUGAAUGAAGCAGUGGCUUGGACUUGGAGGUUUUUUGCCGGGCCUCACCGCUCGGCUCCUCUCAAAUGCAUUAGUGCGUCUUGUUGCGACGUGCGCCUCGGUGUGAUAAUUAUCUACGCUGUGGUGCGCUUGCUUCUGUGGAGACGCGCUUUCUAACCGUCCGAAAGGACAGCUUUCAUCGAACUUUGACCUCAAAUCAGGUGGGACUACCCGCUGAACUUAAGCAUAUCAAUUAAGCGGAGGAAUGAGAAUUAAAAAU